GCUUUAGCAUAGAGCAGAGUCUGCUCCUUAAUGCAUCCCUGGAUCAUAGCGGACUCUGCCUAUAGAGGCCUGGGGUCCCUUUGGCAGCACUUUUGUCAAGAAAGUAGAGUCGUGGACAACCAACUGCACAGGUUGGGAGAGAGCCAGUGCUCAGUGGGGUGUGAGAUGCCAAAUGACCAGACUCUCCAGGGUUCAGCAGCGUGACUAUAAAGAGAAGAAUGCUUUCAAAGAAUUCAAAAAGGCAGGGAUAGAAAAGUAAGCAAAGAGGUUAAAUUUACAUCACAUGUUAAAUCCCCUUGUGAUCCUUUUAGGAAGCUGGAAUCGAAGAUGAAGGUGAGAUGUAAAGAUGAGCAUUGUCACUUCUGCUUUGUUGCCCCUCCCUCUGCUUCCUCAGUUUCUCUGACUGGUCUUCAG
rnacentral:lncRNA from 1 species